rnacentral:rRNA from 1 species
AACCUACCUUAUACUGGGGAAUAACUUCGAGAAAUCGGCGCUAAUACCCCAUAACACUGCGAAGAGGCAUCUCUUUGCAUUUAAAGCUCCGGCGGUAUAAGAUGGGCAUGCGUCCAAUUAGCUAGUUGGUGAGGUAACGGCUCACCAAGGCUACGAUUGGUAGGGGUUCUGAGAGGAUGAUCCCCCACACUGGUACUGAGACACGGACCAGACUCCUACGGGAGGCAGCAGUGAGGAAUAUUGCGCAAUGGACGAAGGUCUGACGCAGCCAUGCCGCGUGCAGGAUGACGGCCCUAUGGGUUGUAAACUGCUUUUGUAUGGGAAUAAACCCUUCUACGUGUAGAAGGCUGAAGGUACCAUAAGAAUAAGCACCGGCUAACUCCGUGCCAGCAGCCGCGGUAAUACGGAGGGUGCAAGCGUUAUCCGGAUUUAUUGGGUUUAAAGGGUCCGUAGGCGGGCCGAUAAGUCAGUGGUGAAAGCCCAUAGCUCAACUAUGGAACUGCCAUUGAUACUGUCGGUCUUGAGUAUAUGUGAUGUUGGCGGAAUGUGUAGUGUAGCGGUGAAAUGCUUAGAUAUUACACAGAACACCGAUUGCGAAGGCAGCUGACAAAUAUAUAACUGACGCUGAGGGACGAAAGUGUGGGGAUCAAACAGGAUUAGAUACCCUGGUAGUCCACACCGUAAACGAUGAU